rnacentral:tRNA from 1 species
AAAGAUUUAGUUUAACGAAAACAUAAAUUUGUCAAUUUUAAAUUACUUAAUAGUAGUCUUUU